rnacentral:rRNA from 1 species
GACGAACCGUGCGAACGUUGUUCGGAAUCACUGGGCUUAAAGGGCGCGUAGGCGGGCUGCCAAGUCUGGGGUGAAAUCCCACGGCUCAACCGUGGAACUGCCUCGGAUACUGGCGGCCUCGAGGGAGGUAGGGGCGUGCGGAACUGUGGGUGGAGCGGUGAAAUGCGUUGAUAUCCACAGGAACUCCGGUGGCGAAAGCGGCGCGCUGGACCUCUUCUGACGCUGAGGCGCGAAAGCUAGGGGAGCAAACGGG